rnacentral:lncRNA from 1 species
UUUUUUGUUCAGGAAUAACUUUAGGAAAAUAUUCAACUAUCUUUGGAGAGAUGGGCCUAUGUUCCAUGCCGAUAGAGGCAAUUUCUGUCAUCUGUUUCGUGUCUGACUGUGGACAAUUAAACCUGCUUUUUGGAGGAUAACAUUUACAUUUUUCUUAAAGGAUUUUACUCAUAACAUGAAAGUUGUAUGGGGAUUGCGAAAGGGAACCCUGGUCGUGGGCUCUAGAACACAACAAGUAUCCCCUCGUGUUCCAACUGUGCGCUUUGGAGAGUGCCCAACCUGUGCCAGGAUGACGCGCACGUGGUGUGGUUUACUGGAGCUAUGAUCGAUAGGUUUACAUGAUGGGUAAAUUUGUGAGGAUUUUUUUUUUUUUUACUGUAGUUAACUCUUUCCCUUACCCUAAAUACUUAUGAGCUAUAAAGAGACCAGGCCAAUUUCUCUCUCACCUGAACGCUGAACUGUGAGAGCAAGACGGUUCACUUGAGGACAACAAGGCCACCCAGCUCUACCUGCUCUGCUGCCACCUGCACAGACAGCUCCACCUGGAGGCUGGAGGACCACAGUACAGCCCCGUCCUCGCUCGCUUCCCCAUCCUGGUCAGGCAGGUGGCUGCUGCUGGACACUUCAGGUGAAUGUCUUCGUGAUGUCAUUUUGGAUGAGGGAGCCGAUUAUCAAAUCUGGAUUUUCUUUGAAAUUGAAGAGCAGGGCGAGGAGCACCACAAUCAAUUUAGGAGCACCAGAAAAUAUGUUUUAAAUGUAUUCAGAUACAGCCUAUAUUGGUCCUAUAUGAAUUAUAUGUAUUUCUGAAGCCCAUGUUAAGUCCUAGACACUAACAUGUAACACUGUAAAGACAGUUUAUUAUCAAAGAUAAAAUGUUGAUACCAAUACCUGUCAUUAAAAUUAGUCAUUUUUUGAAUAUUACGUUUCUACAUUGUGUAAAAGCACUAUUUUCCUAUUGAGAUGCAUUACAUUGAAAAUGGUCCACUGUCUCUUUAAAAACGUCAGGUGUGUGAUGAUGACAAGCCAGAGAUCUGUCAUUCAUUCAUUGCUGCUUUGAUCAUUGAUCUCCUGAAGAAGCUGUCCCUCUCUUUCUGUGCCCCAAAUGUUUGCAGACACUGGUAAAGUUACCAGGUUGUUAACUAGCUAGCCAAUGAGGUAACAUGACUGAACAAAGUGUAAACAAAUGGUUAAUGAUGAUGUUUUAUACUGAACAAAAAUAUAAACACAACAUGUGUAGCUCAUUUAGUCCCUGCUAAAUCACAAAGAUACCAGGUAGCUCAUUUAGUCAACCAGUCCCAACCCCAUAACAACCAGUCCCAACCCCA